GUCUUGGUGGUGUAGUGGUAGUAGUACGCGUCCCUGGCAUGGAUAAAACGCGGGUUCGAUUCCCAGCUGAGACC